AGAAUACGCAAAUAAUUAUCUUAAUCUACAUGGAAGUUGGAACUAAGUAAAGUUUGAAAAUCAAUGACCAUGUGUCUAAACAAGCAGCGCUGCAACUCCCCCCAACAAUGCCACCAACCCCAUGCUGCUCCCAUGCACAAACCCACCACUGGGCGGCGGCGUGGGUGAAGGAGGAGGUGAUGAACCAGGCCCGCCGGCUGGAGGAGGAGAUGUUGCAGGCGGCGAAGCUGUAGACGGGCCGGGUGAUCCCUCCGACGGAGGAGGCGCAGGUGGUGAGAUAGCAGUUGGUGAGCUAGCCGGGCUUGGGCUCAUUGAAGGAGUGGCCGCUGGUGGAGGUGACGAUACCGGCGAGGUAGUCGGGGAUGGCGAAAUUGAGGUAGUCGGGGAUGGCGAAAUUGAGGUAGUCGGGGAUGGCGAAAUUGAGGUCGGUGGGGUUGCUGGCGUGGCCACGCUUGGUGGUGGGGUUGCCAUAGUUGUUGGGGGAGUGGCGGUGGGGGGCGUUGCGGUGGAGGGGGGAGACGCUGGAGAGGUGGAGGGGGACUGAGCGAGGGAGGAUGCGGCGAAGGUCAGGGAGAGGGCGAGGACGAGCAUGGCACGUACCACAGCCAUGACUCGAGAGCUGACCGAUGAGGUUGGAGCCUUGGAGCCUGGAAGGGUUUUUGAGAGUGUGCGCCUCUUACGGUUGAUGACUUGAUAUAUAGAGGCAUGGACCCCCUAGAACUUGAGAUUUUUCUCACUAUUCUCACACCCAGUUGCAUCAACCCUUCAUCCAACUUCAUCACAUCAACCAACAUACCAAUCUUUUAAAGAUAUUUUCAUUUUACCCUUGUGAAUUACCAUUUUAAUUCCAAGAAGUUACCCUCAU
rnacentral:lncRNA from 1 species